CGUCGACCCUCGGAGGCCCGCGUUCCGCCCUGCUCGUACCAGAGCCCCGCCCCCGCUCCCGCCCCCUCCCCCACAGCCGCUGCUGGCGUGGGACCCCGUGUGGGAAGCGGGAGUGCGGAAUCUUCGGGAACACUGGGAGCCCGGAGGAUAAACUUAAGUAGAAAAAAAGGAAGAUUACAAGACAAGACGAUGGAUGGACUAAAAACAACAACAAAUGUCAGUAGUGCUGGUGGUGACAAAUCCUGUUGUAGAGAUGCCUUCCAUUUCUGGUCACUGACAACUCAGGUUGUCAAAAUGAAAUGAUCAACAAACAGUAUAAGAGACCUAGGAGUCAGAGAACAGGAGUGGGAGAAGGAUACUGUUCUCUGACAAUCAGAAUUCAAGUAUUUCAAGUCAAUGGCUUGCAAGAGAAAAUGGACCAUUACUCCACCGGCUGAACAGCAUCGCAUGAGUCCUACAAACUAUGUAACCCAGGAUUUUCCCUGCACUAUUCUAAUGUACCAUUUUGUGUUUUUCCUACUGGAUCUACUAAAUGGUUUGGAUGCUGUAAAAAACACAAAUUUGGUCCCAGGAUCAUUUGUCUGAGUUCCACUUGGAGAGUUAAGAGUACAAACUCACCUUUUUUUUCUUUUGAAGAAUCUCUGCGGGAAGAAAUCAGACCUGAGAAAGGCACAAUCACCUCUGGGAACCUAACAGUUUCUGUCUGAUGGAGCUAGGGAUGUCAAUACACUGGAGGGCAAACGGAAUGAAUUCAGAGGCACUAGAAAGAAUGCACUCUACCUUGACCAAAAAUAUCUCCUAUCUGCUGAGAGAAGCAUAAAAUUCUGAAACCUUACAUGCCAUCAUCUAAAUGAAAAUAAUACAUAAGCUCAUACAACUCAAUAUCAAAAAGCAAACUCAAUCAAAAAAUGGGCAGAAGACUUGAAUAGGUAUUUUCAAAAGAAGACAUACAGUAGGUGGCUAAGGCAUAUGAAAAGAUGCUCAAAGUCACUAAUCUUCAAGGAAAUGAAAUCAAAACAACGAGAUAUCACCUCAUACCUGUCAGAAUGGCUAUCAUCAAAAAGUGUACAAAUAACAAAUGUUGGAGAAGAUGUGGAGAAAAGGGAACCCUACAGUAUGGACAUUCCUCAAAAAACUAAAAACACAACUACUAUAUGAUCCAGCAAUUCCACUCCUGGAUAUAUUUAUCUGGGGAAAAAACUAAAACACUAAUUCAAAAAGAUACACACACCCCAGUGUUCAUAGCAGCACUGUUUACAAUGGCCAAGAUAUGGAAGCAACUGAAGUGCCCAUGAAUAGGCAAAUGGAUAAAGAAGAUGUGUAUGUAUAAAAUGGAAUACUAUUCAGCCAUAAAAAGAAUGAAAUUCUGCCAUUUGCAGCAAUGUGGAUAGACCUCGAGAUUAUGCUUAGUGAAAAGACAGAAACUCAAAUACUGUAUGAUACCACUUAUAUGUGGAAUCUAAAAAAUAAUAUAAAUGAAUGUAUAUGCAAAAGAGAAACAGACUCACACAUACAGAAAACAAACUAGUGGUUACCAAAGGGGAAAGGGAAUAGGGUAAGGGCAAAUUAGGGGUAUGGGAUUAACAGAUUUAACUAUGUAUAAAACAGGUAAGCAACAAGGAUAUAUUGUAUAGCACAGGGAAUGAUAGCCAUUAUCUUGUAAUAACUUUUAAUGGAGUAGAAUCUGCAAAAAUAUUGAAUCACUAUGCUAUACAUGUGAAAAUAAUAUAAUAUUAUAAAUCAACUAAACUUCAAAAUAUAUAUAAUGUCUUUCCUUUUGUUUGGGGAGAACAUGAUGCUAAGGAUGAAGAACUCAGUAAAAGACUAGGUAUCAGAAUCAUUCAAACUGCCUCACAAUUUUGCUUAAAUCUGACUCUGAGAAGUGACAAAAGAUAAAGAUCUGUACAUAUAUCAUUAUCUUGUGUCACUUCUGAAUCUGAAACAUUAAUUUAAUGGCAUUUCUUAAACACUGAUGCUCCAUGGUCAUGUACAAUAGUCACCAAUUAGAUUUAAUGAUUUUGAAAAUAUAGAAGGUGUUUUAUAAGUGAUAAAUGUUAUCAUCACACAGUAAGUAGAGAACCUGAAAUAUGUCUUACCACUCUAGAUGAUUUUCUUCUGUUGAUGCACUGGCAGUCAAUACUAUAUAAUGUCUGUGAAGAAUUUUCAGUAAACAAUCAGGAGGGAAAAAAAAGCCAGAAACAUUGUUACAGUGAUUUUCCAUCAUUACUUUUUCUUUCUCCCUCCCAAUGAACAAAAGAGCUAAUACAGGCAUACAUUUAUGAAAAUUAAAACAUGCUCUGAUUUUCACAAAAUUAAUUCUAGAACCUGCAAUUAAAAACAAUUCACUAAAAACAAAAAUACAUGAAUACAGGGUUAAAUACUACUAGAAUAUAGAGACUUUCUCAUCACCCAGGAUUUCUGCUAACCUAGUCUCUACUUCACUUGAAAUAUAAGUGACAGCUGUCAUUUACUGUAUAUUAACUUUGUAAGUUUAACAUUCUUCUUCCUUAAAUGCAUACACACACAAAAUGCAAAAUUUCAAGUACCUAUACUUUUGAAAA